rnacentral:ncRNA from 1 species
UUCUUCGGGGCGGGGUGUAAUUCCCCACCGGCGGUUACAGUCCGCGACCUGUGUAAAGCAGUUGAUUUGGUGAAAUUCCAAAACCGACAGUAUAGUCUGGAUGAGAGAAGAA